rnacentral:ncRNA from 2 species
CUGACAGGCUAGGGGUGCUCCAAUCGAGGGGCUGAGACCUGGGUGUUUCCCAGGAACCCUUGGAACCUGAUCCGGGUAAUACCGGCGGAGGGAAGCCAUGCGCAAACGUU